ensembl:lncRNA
GUAGUGGGAAGAGCCGUAACAUAAACAAGGAAGGUUAAGGUUAGGAAUGGGGUGAAAAAGGUUAUGUUUAGGUAAGAGAAUGAAGGGGGUUAUGUUAAAGAUCCCAUGCCAUUCUAUUUAUGGAUGCUUUAAUAUAGGUAUUAGUGGGCCACAAACACAGUAUUCAAAGAUGUCCCCGAAAUUCAGCCGUGGUGCAGAGUUACAGUCACUCCGAAACAGUCGCACAUUGAGCUUCCCCCAAACGCGCUGUUUCGGUGGGCGUGUCAAGGCAGGUCAAGGAGGGGGGUGGGGGUGUGGCCCUGAGCAGCUUGUAGCCACAGUACCAUGCGCUCUGUAUACGGUGGGCGUGUCAAGGCAGGUCAAGGAGGGGGGUGGGGGUGUGGCCCUAAGCAGCUUGUAGCCACUGACAGUACCAUGCGCUCUGUUUACGGUGGAUGUAUCGCAAUGGCUCGUAGAAACCCAUAUUAUACAUAGGCCUAUCUAUAUCAUAUAAUAUAUAAUAUAUAUUAUCACCUGGCCCUGAGCAGCUUGUAGCCACGGUACCAUGCGCUCUGUUUACGGUGGAUGUAUCGCAAUGGCUCUUAGAAACCCAUAUUAUACAUAGAUAUCUAUAUCAUAUAAUAUAUAAUAUAUAUUAUCACGGCCAAAAGCUGUGUGAGCCUCCAGACGAUAGGUUAUUAUGAAUCUCAAACGACCGCGUCUACUUCAGAUUGAUGUGGAAGUGGAAGAACCAGAGACGUCGGAGAACCCGACGAAGUCCUUUGUGAUUCAUUAUAUCGUCUGGACGCGCACACAGCUUUUGGCCGUGAUAAUAUGUAUUAUUUGAUAUAGAUAUCUAUGUAUUAUAUGAUAUUAUUUAGAUAUAGAGCUGAGACACUGAGAGGAGCGGAGUACUUUAGAGUGAUACAUGAUCGACGGGUGCGGGUGCAGGUGCGGGUGUGCCGACUCUGCAUCAAGCCAGGACACAUCUUCAGGGAGUGCCCUGAUUUCAAGUGCUUCAGGUGCCAGAAGACAGGGCAUAAUGCGCGGGAGUGUGAGGAACGGAACGCAGCGGCGAGAGAGGAGGAGAGAGGAGAACAGAUGGAGGAUAAAGACGGAGAGAGCGAUGACGGAAGGGGAGCUGAAGAGGAGACGGGAGGUGAGAACGAGGAAGCGGAAAAAGAACUGGAAUGGCGGUAUAGAUCUGACAGCGGCGACAGUGCUGAGAAGGACGGUGACGAACAGAUGAUGGAGCAGGGGGGAAAAGCGGAGGACGAUGAUGUGGCGGAGGCUACAGACGAUGAACGAGGGAGAGCAGAACAACCGGUGGAAAAAAUAGAUGAGGAGCAAAGACAGGAGGGCAGAGGACGAAAAGGAGGGAAGAAGACAAAAGAACUGGCCGCCAAAAGGAAAGCAGAGGAGGAGAAGACACGGGGAGUGAGAAGUAAAGGACCGCGGUCUGGCAUCUACCGACGGAGAAGACUGAACCUGUGAGGCCCAGGUGGAGAAGCAGGGCUUCAUUAGCCUGCUUCUCCGCUCAUUCAGGGCUCUCCCAGCCAUGUGGCUCCUGUACGGAGAGACCGGUCCUCGUGGGUGACGGGAUUAAACAUGCCUUUUUGGCUUUUGCCCAGCAAAGAUGUGUCCUGUUUUGGGAGGUAGUGGUUCGCUCACCGUGCUGGGUUACCACAAUGGCUAUGUGUAUUGUUGUGGAGGAGUGCGGUGAGGUUCCCCGACAAGACUGGGCCCACCGGGACGGCCAUGGAAAUGUUCCAUAAGUUUGAGGGACCGGUUAUAUUUAUGGACGUCUGAGGCCCCUCUCCAGCAGCUGAGUUUCCGUUUCUGACAGAUGGAAGAUGGUGGAUACGUUCAGAAUGUUAGAUUCCUGGGGACGGGGGUGUCCCUGUUGGGACUUAGCCACCGCCCGAAGUUUAACUAAUCCAGCCUGUGAAGAUGUGAAUGGCACCUUCACUGGUUUAAACCAUGUUUUAAAAGAUGCACAUAUUCCUGUCUGGCCGUUAGCCGUAAUAGUCUGCAGCUGUGGCUCAUAGGCUAAUUGAGCCACACCCAUUCUGGUGUUCCUUAAGAGGGCCAGAGUUUUAGACUGGAGGGAGGCUUGUGUUGUGCAAGUGACUCGACGGUUGUGCUAUGUGUUUUAAGUAAAAAUAUGCUUUUUAACAACAACCAUGUGCGUAGAGAAAACUCUUUUUCACAUUUGGUGGCAAUGGUGGGAUGAUUCCUCUAGCCGAGUGGAGGGGACAGUGGCGUAACUACCGGUAAGCAGGGUAUGCGGGUGCGUACGGGCCCGGGGCCAAUCAGGGGCCCAAAAAAAAAAAAAAAAAAACCCGCCCCCCCCCCCCCCCCCCCCCCCGUCAACAAUCGCUCCGAACCCCCCCCCCCCCGGUCAACAAUCGCUCCGAACCCCCCCCCCCCCCCCCCCCCUCAACAAUUUUAACGGGGGGGGGGGGGCCCGCCUUGACCAUUCUGAAUACGGGCCCGUCGUUGCCUUGUUACGCCACUGGGAGGGGACACACAUUUCGGAAAAUAUUGUUCGAGGAGC